rnacentral:lncRNA from 1 species
AUGUAUUGUUGUCUCUACCUUCUUGCCCUUUGUGCUGUUGUCUCUACCUUCUUGCCCUUUGUGCUGUUGUCUCUACCUUCUUGCCCUUUGUGCUGUUGUCUCUACCUUCUUGCCCUUUGUGCUGUUGUCUCUACCUUCUUGCCCUUUGUGCUGUUGUCUCUACUUUCUUGCCCUUUGUGCUGUUGUCUCUACCUUCUUGCCCUUUGUGCUGUUGUCUCUACCUUCUUGCCCUUUGUGCUGUUGUCUCUACCUUCUUGCCCUUUGUGCUGUUGUCUCUACCUUCUUGCCCUUUGUGCAGUUGUCUCUACCUUCUUGCCCUUUGUGCAGUUGUCUCUACCUUCUUGCCCUUUGUGCUGUUGUCUCUACCUUCUUGCCCUUUGUGCAGUUGUCUCUACCUUCUUGCCCUUUGUGCUGUUGUCUCUACCUUCUUGCCCUUUGUGCAGUUGUCUCUACCUUCUUGCCCUUUGUGCUGUUGUCUCUACCUUCUGGCCCUUUGUGCUGUUGUCUCUACCUUCUUGCCCUUUGUGCUGUUGUCUCUACCUUCUUGCCCUUUGUGCUGUUGUCUCUACCUUCUUGCCCUUUGUGCAGUUGUCUCUACCUUCUUGCCCUUUGUGCUGUUGUCUCUACCUUCUUGCCCUUUGUGCUGUUGUCUCUACCUUCUUGCCCUUUGUGCUGUUGUCUCUACCUUCUUGCCCUUUGUGCUGUUGUCUCUACCUUCUUGCCCUUUGUGCUGUUGUCUCUACCUUCUUGCCCUUUGUGCUGUUGUCUCUACCUUCUUGCCCUUUGUGCUGUUGUCUCUACCUUCUUGCCCUUUGUGCUGUUGUCUCUACCUUCUUGCCCUUUGUGCUGUUGUCUCUACCUUCUUGCCCUUUGUGCUGUUGUCUCUACCUUCUUGCCCUUUGUGCUGUUGUCUCUACCUUCUUGCCCUUUGUGCAGUUGUCUCUACCUUCUUGCCCUUUGUGCUGUUGUCUCUACCUUCUUGCCCUUUGUGCAGUUGUCUCUACCUUCUUGCCCUUUGUGCUGUUGUCUGUGCCCAAUGUUUGUAUCAUGUUUAAUCCUGCUACCAUGCCGUGUUGUCAUGUUGUGUUGCUACCAUGCCGUGUUGUCAUGUUUAGUCCUGCUACCAUGCCGUGUUGUCAUGUUUAG